AUAGUGUUCAGCAUGUCUUCUAGACUCAGGACAACCACGAUAGGGUUGAGGUGCUAGGGCAUCGUACUCAUACCAUAAUUAUCUAAGUUUGGAGAAGUACACUGACACAAAUGGCACACCUUGAGUCAAAGUAGCAAUUUUCUUGUGAAUAUAGCAGCUUCUAGAGGUGUUGAAUUUAUCUAACCUUUCCUUAAGAUCUUCCCACAUCUUGUGUGCGUUAGAUGUGUAAAUCACAGUACUAACGAGAUUUGGCGAAAUAGUAUUCAUAAUCCAAGCUAGAACAAUUGCAGUACAUUUAUCCCACAGUUCGUAUAGACUAUGAUCAUACAUUUUCCUCCUACAGGCACCAAGAACGACGUCUAGCUUAUUUUUUCCAUACUAUACAAUUUUUAUAGAUCUAUUCCAAGUCGAAUAAUUUUUAUAUCCUUGAAGUUGAAUGAAGAUUACUACCGAACCUUGCAUGUCUGAUGGAUAAAUGUAUAAAGGAUGACUGUGAUAAACUAGAUCCAUGUCAUGAAGGUUUGGGGCUGGAGAUAUAGCACCAUGAGCAACAGAGACGGAGAAUUGCCAUUAUGUUUCUUCAGAAAACUUAGUUAUAUUACUGAUUUGGAAGAACAACAAGCAAUUAAAGAUGAAUUGUACAGUAAUUCGUCAAGAUUUAACUGAAAUUAACAAGUUCCAGAAACCCUAGGUUGCAGAAGAACUUUUCCAGAUUGAAGAAAUAGCUCGAUCUAUGACAAAUAUAGUUCUCUAAUACUCCUCCGUAGUAACUGAGCUGACCGAUUUACCAAAGCUCUGAUACUUAGCUCAGUUAUGGUGAAUGAGAGAGAGAGAGUUUCAGAGAAGAUUGAGAGAUAAAUAGCUCCAUUGAUAAGCUCUGGUGUUCGGAGACAAAAUGAAA
rnacentral:lncRNA from 1 species